UACGAAGGGAGCUAGCGUUGCUCGGAAUCACUGGGCGUAAAGCGCACGUAGGCGGAUUGCUAAGUCAGGGGUGAAAUCCUGGAGCUCAACUCCAGAACUGCCUUUGAUACUGGCAAUCUCGAGUCCGGGAGAGGUGAGUGGAACUGCGAGUGUAGAGGUGAAAUUCGUAGAUAUUCGCAAGAACACCAGUGGCGAAGGCGGCUCACUGGCCCGGUACUGACGCUGAGGUGCGAAAGCGUGGGGAGCAAACAGG
rnacentral:rRNA from 1 species